rnacentral:lncRNA from 10 species
CCAGCUUUCAGUUGCCUUGAAAAUAUCUUCAGCAAGUGGUCUCUUAAACAUUCUCACCUCUGGAUUUCUAGGGCACAUUCUCUCACCUGAUUGUCUAUCCAUUUUCUCCACACUCCUAGUCAGUCACCUUUGCUGUGCUCCUUCUGUUUCAUCUUCCCCUUAAAGGACAUCAAGAAAGUGAAAGUGUGUCCGAAAUUGGUGGGUUCUUGGUCUCACUGACUUCAAGAAUGAACCUGUGGACCCUCACGGUUUCUACAGCAAUGUUAUCUUGAAUGGUUUGUCAACAUGUUUCACUGAGAAAACUUAAAGCAACUCUGGUAAUUACAAGUGGAACCUUGUUACAAGUGGAACCUUGACAACUUCAGAAGUGACCAUCACAACCAAACAUUCCCUGCUCUGAAUCACCUGACAUUCACUGUCUCAUUCACACCAGCUUCUUCAGGUGGCCCUUGAUGAUCUGCCUGCCUCCACAGAGGCUCAGAAAAUUAGCCUUUUCUUUUUUUCUAGAUUUCACUCUUCAUGAUGGAUGUGAAAGACAGUAAAGUAUGCUAGUUAAAACCCAGCCUCUGGAGACAGACUGAUGUGGGAUCCUAGAAAAGUCGUCUGCACAGAGCAGGGCAUGGCCUGCAUUCCAAAUUUUGUUAUUCUCAAAGGUCAGUUGUUCUCAGUGGCAGACAACAGAAGCCAAGACUUGCUAAGUAAAACAGAAGACAAAUUUGCUGGAAGGACAUGUGAAAAUGGGCACAAAUUAGGAAGCAAGGUCAUACUUGCAUCACUGCUGUUAGGCUGCUACCACUGACUCCUCUGCUCCUGCACUCCCAAAAGCACCAUCAAGAAAAACCCCACACACAGUUCCUUCAUCUUUGCCUUACUUGCUGAAGAUUAGAAGUCCCAGGAUACUGGAUGGCAUGCAGAAUCUUUGGAAGAACAACCAGAUUGCCAGGCAACACAGCUAGAAAAGUGCCCCAAAUCUCACCACAGAACAGAUUUAAUGAAAAUCGCACUUCUGCACUGCUGGGCCAUUAUUACUAUGACCACCGAGAAUGCUGCCUCUAAAGAGUGGAUGGACCUGCUCUCACUGCCCUGCUGCUUCCUGUCCCUAGAAUAAAC